GACGAACGCUGGCGGCGUGCUUAACACAUGCAAGUCGAACGGUAAGGCCCUUCGGGGUACACGAGUGGCGAACGGGCGAGUAACACGUGGGUGAUCUGCCCUGCACUUCGGGAUAAGCCUGGGAAACUGGGUCUAAUACCGGAUAGGACCACUGCCUGCAUGGGUGGGGGUGGAAAGCUUUUGCGGUGUGGGAUGGGCCCGCGGCCUAUCAGCUUGUUGGUGGGGUGAUGGCCUACCAAGGCGACGACGGGUAGCCGGCCUGAGAGGGUGACCGGCCACACUGGGACUGAGAUACGGCCCAGACGCCUACGGGAGGCAGCAGUGGGGAAUAUUGCACAAUGGGCGCAAGCCUGAUGCAGCGACGCCGCGUGAGGGAUGACGGCCUUCGGGUUGUAAACCUCUUUCAGCACCGACGAAGCGCAAGUGACGGUAGGUGCAGAAGAAGGACCGGCCAACUACGUGCCAGCAGCAGCCGCCG
rnacentral:rRNA from 1 species